UCGGGCCGCUCAUCCGACACCUGCCGGGUGAGACCUGAUGCUCUCCUUCCUCUCCCCCGCUUUCUCUGUGGCUCGCUCUACCCAAGUUUGGAGGGAGAGGGACGUGGGAGGAAGGGGCAGAAGAAAAGGAAUACAGGGAGAAGGAAGGAGGGCUGGGGGGGCAGAGGGACGGGGGAGAAGAAAGGGGAAUACGAGGAAAGGAGUUGUAGAGGGGAGAGAGGAGCAGUGGUUUUUGGGGGGCCGAGGAAAGGGAAAAAUGGGGAGGAAAAAGGGGAAUACGGGGAGAAGGAAGGAGGACUAGGUGGGGGGGAAGGCGCGGAGGUUUUGGAGGCAGAGGGAAGGGGGAGAAAGAAGAGGAAUACGGGAAGGAGGGGGAGAGGUGGGGAAGCCGAAGCCCCCACGACUCACCUGGGAAGCCGGGACAAGCAGCUGCUACCCUCACGCGCUCAUAGUGAGUAAACGGCCGCCCGGCGAUGUCCGGGGCUUAAAUCACCUCGGCCCCACCCCGCGCACCUGUGUCGGGCCCUGCCUCCCGGGACUCUCCGGGGUUCCGCGAAAGUCAGCUGUGCUUAAUGUGCAGGUCAGUGGCAAUACCUGGAUUUAUCUCUUCUAUCCCCAGAGCCAAGCAGUCAGUCCGGCAUUCCUGCCUACUCUGAUGCCAGCCACUGUCUUGUGUUCCAACUCACUCCUCAGAUGGAAAAGGACUGGGACCAUAACUGCUGAACGCUACUGGCAGUGAGGCUUCUUUCCAGCUGGGUGCUGCUGUAUCCCAGGCUCCGCGGCGUGGCUGGAUGCAGGCUGGACACGCAGGUAAGGCUAGGGCUCAAAAACUGUGGGCGGUGAGGUGAAAGUUUGUUUUGGCAAGUGGUGUCAUCUUGCUUGGAUGCUGGGGAGCAGGCUGGGGCAGAGCUGCAGGUCAGUGGAACCAGCCCUGCUCCAGCAGUGCUGUCACCAUGUCACUGCACUGGGGCAAGCACAAAUCUGUCACCUUUAAUCUGCCAGAAAACAGAUGCAACUCAGACAUUAUAGAUUAGGCAUGCAACAUGUCAUUGGUAACAAAAUGAAUUAGAUAGCAGUGUAUAUUAAAUAAGUUUUUGUAAGUAAAAAA